rnacentral:antisense_RNA from 1 species
CAGCGAAAUACAGGCUCCACGACACGACCACAACGC